UGCGGAGUCAUCUGAGGAGGAGAGAAGGCGGGAGGUGGUAUAUUUAUUAUAUCCAGGAUACCUAGCCUCCAACUUCUCAACGGGGAAAGGAACGCUUUGUAUAACUCGUGUAGAAGCUUUCCAGUAAUGUAUUUCAGAGAACAGCAUCCACAUGCAGCUUCUAAAUUAGCCAUAUCAUCAGGUUCUUAGAAGUUCACAACUCAGCAAGACAUUCCCCUCCUCCAUAAGACGUACAGUCUAAAACUCCAAGUGACAAGAACUAACACAGAUCGAUCUUUAGAUUACUUUCAAAAGGCAGGCUGUGAAGAGGUUGGAGAUAAGCUAUACUGUGUGUUAGUAGACUUCAGUAAUGAAGCAGAGGAAAAGACCUGAUAUUGUCUGAAGCAUCAGAUCCCACUGUGAAAACUGGCAUUGUGAACGGCGGUUUUCUUCAUUCACUCUCAUCAGAAAAUAUUGAAUCCAGCCCUAGGAGCUUGUGCAGUAACAUGAUCCGUGUAUCCUGUGGACUCCUUCGGAUUCGGUGGACUACUUCGAUGACCAGCGUUUUUCUUUGUUUGAUUUUAAUAAAAUGGUUAACGAUG